UUUGCCACCCCAUUUUCCCCAAAAUCCUCCAUGAAUGGUUCUUCAAUUAAGCUUACAUUUAAGCUAAAUUUUCUUCACUUAACCUUCUUAACUUCCUUAAAUACCUCACUAGAACCUUUAAUCUCAACUUAAGCACAAGAAAGAGAGAGGAAAGAAAGAGAACAAUUGAAGGCUUGGCAUUUAAAUUGAGUGGAAAAGAAUACCGGGACAGAACCCGAGGAGUCGAGUCAAGGCCAACAGGCGACUCGUUUGAGAUACAGAGACUAGAGGAGCAGCAGACUGAGCUGCUGAAGUGUGUGAAGUCAUCAGCUUGAAGCCUUCGGGUAUAAUUUAUACCCUAACUGUAAAUACUUCUUUUGAUGUAUAUAUUGCACAUAAAUGUAUGGACAUGUAAAA